GGGGAUGAUCGGUUUCGACAGCGGCUGUCGAAGCAGGGGAAGCGUGUCGAGGAAGCGGCCAUGAUCUCGUAAACCACAGGCCGAAAAAAAUAAUCGCCACUAUCAAGAGCGAUUCUCCCAAGGCGACGCAGUUCGCCCUCGCUGCCUGAUCUCAGGUAACUAGGCAACUGCCCCUUACUUAAGGGAGUGUCAGCCCGGGGCUGUUCCCGACCCGGAUCCUGGCAUCAGCUAGGGGACUAAACCUUGAUCCCGGUCACGGGGUGAAGAGGGAAAUCAAACAGUGACUGGGCCCGUCGGCGACUUGUUCGCGUGAUCGCCGGGGCCGAGAAAAUCACAGCGAACUGCACACGGAGAAGCCCUGAUUCUGCACCGUUGGACGCGGGUUCGAUUCCCGCCAUCUCCACUC
rfam:Streptomyces sp. MMG1533 P407contig17.1, whole genome shotgun sequence.